GCCAGGGUGAUGGAAUGGUAGACAUAGGGGGCUUAAACCCCCCAGGCAGUAACAUGCCGUGCGGGUUCGAGUCCCGCCCCUGGUA
rnacentral:tRNA from 1 species